GAUGAACGCUGGCGGCGUGCCUAACACAUGCAAGUCGAGCGAUUCUCUUCGGAGAAGAGCGGCGGACGGGUGAGUAACGCGUGGGUAACCUGCCCUGUACACACGGAUAACAUACCGAAAGGUAUGCUAAUACGAGAUGAUAUAUAAAAGUUGCAUGACUUUCAUAUCAAAGCUUUUGCGGUACAGGAUGGACCCGCGUCUGAUUAGCUAGUUGGUAAGGUAACGGCUUACCAAGGCGACGAUCAGUAGCCGACCUGAGAGGGUGAUCGGCCACACUGGAACUGAGACACGGUCCAGACUCCUACGGGAGGCAGCAGUGGGGAAUAUUGCACAAUGGGCGAAAGCCUGAUGCAGCAACGCCGCGUGAGCGAUGAAGGCCUUCGGGUCGUAAAGCUCUGUCCUCAAGGAAGAUAAUGACGGUACUUGAGGAGGAAGCCCCGGCUAACUACGUGCCAGCCGCCGCAGUAACAC
rnacentral:rRNA from 1 species